rnacentral:lncRNA from 1 species
CUGACGAAAUGAGUCACGAACUGGUGACUCAUCUGGUCAAAGGAGAAGAUUGUACCCGGCUUCAGCACCGAGUACCAGUUCCUUGCUGCUCCCUUCAAGGUAGAUGGGAAAGCUCGACACAAGAUGGCGUUUGGCACGCCAUGGAGUAGCAUCAUGGUUCGGAAGGCCUCCAGGUGGUCGAUCGGGUCCGAGGUCCCAUCGUAGCUCUCGAAUUGGGGGAGCUUGAAGUUCGGCAGGAUUGGUUCCUGCAUGAUCAUUUGAGAGAAAGGAGGGUCAGU